rnacentral:tRNA from 1 species
GGCGGAUUAGCCAACUAUCGACGC